ensembl:lncRNA
CUGUGCUAUGGGGCAGAGCUAUGGGGCAGAGCUAUGGGUCCAUACCAGUACGGGGUGCCCACGAAGCUGCAGGCCGAGGCGCUGUGGGGCAGGGCUGUGCUAUGGGGCAGGGCAGGGCUAUGGGUCCCGCUAUGGGUCCCGCUAUGGGGCAGAGCUAUGGGGCAGAGCUAUGGGUCCAUACCAGUACGGGGUGCCCACGAAGCUGCAGGCCGAGGCACUGUGGGGCAGGGCUGUGCUAUGGGGCAGGGCUGUGCUAUGGGUCCCGCUAUGGGGCAGGGCUAUGGGUCCCGCUAUGGGGCAGGGCUAUGGGUCCAUACCAGUACGGGGUGCCCACGAAGCUGCAGGCCGAGGCGCUGUGGGGCAGGGCUGUGCUAUGGGGCAGGGCUAUGGGUCCCGCUAUGGGGCAGGGCUGUGCUAUGGGGCAGAGCUAUGGGUCCGUACCAGUACGGGGUGCCCACGAAGCUGCAGGCCGAGGCGCUGUGUGCGGCUGAGCCGAAGUCGCUGAGUUUGAUGCGGCCCCGCGGGGACAGCAGAACGUUGGCGGCCUUCACGUCUCUGUG